rnacentral:lncRNA from 1 species
AAUUCGAUCCAUGUUCGAAUAGCAAUGUUCAAUGACAUUAUUAAAUCUUUAACUUUUCCGUUUACCCAAUCUGUGGCGAGGCCUUAGGGCUCACCCAUAACUCACCCUUCAAUUCCAAAGUGGGGAGGGAGCUCCAUGUGCACCCAAGCCCGGGACCGUCUGCGGACCUUCAUGUGGUCCGGACCUCCAAGUGGCCCUAGUCGCGCGACACUCGGGAGUACUCGACGACAAUCCCCUCCAUGUGGGGAUUGGAU